CUCAGGAAUGUGUGUGUCUGUGUAUGUUUGUGUGUAUGUAUAUGUGAGCUGAACAUUGCAUCAGGCCUUGAAACAUCAUGAAACAUCGCAUCUACAUCUCUCUACAACUAGUUUUGGCUGUUGAAGGCAGUGGUUGCGUCCGAAAACGCAUACCGUGCACUACAUACUCAACAUGCAUACUAUUGUUCAACGUACUUUUGUGUAAAUAAACAGUAGUGUGUACCUUUUUCGGACGCACUGAGCUGUAAUAAUCGGGACGCAGAACCAUGGUAACCCCUGCCGACAUGCGCUCUAGCAGCAUCGCCAGAUAACGCUUCAAUUACUAAAAAAGAAAAGCAACUAGACCAACAGUCGCAGAUGACAAAAUCACAGAUUUUUAUAUGUACAAAUUUAAAUUAAAGCAUUUUUGAUGUCACAGCGCUGCCUUGGUUGCUGUCCGUUUGUCUGUUUCGAACGUUGUUGUUGUUACUACUGCAUUAUGGGAAAUUUAUGCCGGCGUAGUGUCCACUGUUUGCAUACUGAAACAUUUCACCGGAAAUAGUAUGCAAUUCAUGUACCAUUGGUUUCAUACUUUGGUUUCGGACAUAC